AUCGCUUCUCGGCCUUUUGGCUAAGAUCAAGUGUAGUAACAGUAAGCUAUUAACAGUUAAGUUUGGAAGGAGUCAAAAGUUAUAUGUGAAUUUUCAAUUGCAUGGCAGCGGUCAGCACCCCUAACUCCCAUGUUGUUCAAGUGUCAACUA
rnacentral:snRNA from 1 species